GCCAGCAGCCGCGGUAAUACGGAGGAUCCAAGCGUUAUCCGGAUUUAUUGGGUUUAAAGGGUGCGUAGGCGGCCUAUUAAGUCAGGAGCGAAAGACGGUAGCUUAACUAUCGCAGUGCCUUUGAUACUGAUGGGCUUGAAUGUACUUGAGGUAGGCGGAAUGUGACAAGUAGCGGUGAAAUGCAUAGAUAUGUCACAGAACACCAACUGCGAAGGCAGCUUACUAAAGUAUGAUUGACGCUGAGGCACGAAAGCGUGGGGAUCAAACAGGAUUAGAUACCCUGGUAGUCCACGCCCUAAACGAUGAACACUCGAUGUUGGCGAUAUACGGUCAGCGUCUAAGCGAAAGCGUAAAGUGUUCCACCUGGGGAGUACGCCCGCAAGGGUGAAACUCAAAGGAAUUGACGGA
rnacentral:rRNA from 1 species